AGUUCUAAGCUGAUUGGUUAAAGCAGCGUCACCGACGAUUGAUUUUGAUGGAUGAAAAGCAGUUGAAUGUCGUAUGGCCUGUGUUCAUAACAAAAAGGUCCGCCACCGGUCCUUUAGAGAAGAAGGACAAAGAGUUAAAGCGAGAUUUGCCAAUGCAAGAUGAAAUCAAAGACGAAUUUGGCCUAAACUGGUAAGGCCAUUUGUCAUUCAAAAAGGUGCUACCGAGUGGAGCACUUAUCCUUGAAGAGAUGGACGGACAAACAGUCUCUCAACCUAUCAACUCAGACAUGUGUAAGAAGUUUUAUUUUUGAUUAUGCAAAUUUCUUUUGGAAAUCAUGCAAGGGACGAGGCAAAGGUCAGGCCAUCUUCCUUUCCAAUCAAAACAUUUCAUCCCUAGUCAUCCCUUUUGAGCUAUCAGAACAAUAAUUUUCGUUUGGCAGCCCCUGAGAAUUGCAAACCCCACACUGGGGCAAAUUCAUUUUGAAACGAGAUUAUCAGAGAGGGAAAAGGAAAAAUCCCCAUACUGGGGCAAAUUCAUUUUGAAAAAAAAAGGAAAAAGGAAAAAGAGGAAAAGAGAAAAGAAAGAACCCCACACUGGGGCAAAUUUAGUUUUUGAAGGAAAAUGCAAAAAGUGAGGAAAAUGCAAUGAAGAAAAUGCAAAGAAAGAGAAAAUCCAAUCAAACUGGGGCAAAUUUCCUCGGUUUCGUUCAAAAUUAGAGAUAAUUUCAAAAUGAUGCAAUCUCAGGUUAUUUCACACCUUUCAUCAAACCUGCUUUCAAGCCUCAACUUUUCUUGAAAAACACCCCACCUGACCUCAUUACAAAAGCCCAAAAGUCCUGACUUUCGUCACUUGCUGUAUUUCUAUUAGGAAUUUCGCUAAUCAAUUGGCAAGUGAUGUCUAUAAUGCCUUCACUUAAACUUCUAAGGGAAGUGCAUUUUACUGAUGCCAGAAAUCUUCAACUCAUACUCCUGAGUCGAUCAUGGUUGAGCUCUUUCAUU
rnacentral:lncRNA from 1 species